rnacentral:rRNA from 1 species
CAGUCGCCGCGGUAAUACGUAGGGUGCGAGCGUUAAUCGGAAUUACUGGGCGUAAAGCGUGCGCAGGCGGUUGUGUAAGACAGGUGUGAAAUCCCCGGGCUUAACCUGGGAACUGCGCUUGUGACUGCACAGCUAGAGUAUGGCAGAGGGGGGUGGAAUUCCACGUGUAGCAGUGAAAUGCGUAGAGAUGUGGAGGAACACCGAUGGCGAAGGCAGCCCCCUGGGCCAAUACUGACGCUCAUGCACGAAAGCGUGGGGAGCAAACAGGAUUAGAUACCCCCGUAGUCCCUGUCUCUUAUAA